AGGAUGAACGCUGGCGGCGUGCCUAACACAUGCAAGUCGAGCGAUCUUCUUCGGAAGAGAGCGGCGGACGGGUGAGUAACGCGUGGGUAACCUGCCUCAUACACAUGGAUAACAUACCGAAAGGUAUGCUAAUACAAGAUGAUAUAAGAGAUUCGCAUGGAUUUCUUAUCAAAGCUUUUGCGGUAUGAGAUGGACCCGCGUCUGAUUAGCUAGUUGGUAAGGUAAUGGCUUACCAAGGCGACGAUCAGUAGCCGACCUGAGAGGGUGAUCGGCCACAUUGGAACUGAGACACGGUCCAAACUCCUACGGGAGGCAGCAGUGGGGAAUAUUGCACAAUGGGCGAAAGCCUGAUGCAGCAACGCCGCGUGAGCGAUGAAGGCCUUCGGGUCGUAAAGCUCUGUCCUCAAGGAAGAUAAUGACGGUACUUGAGGAGGAAGCCCCGGCUAACUACGUG
rnacentral:rRNA from 1 species